UGUGUAGGUGGCCAUGUAAGUCAGGUGUGAAAGCCCCGGGCUCAACCCGGGAAGUGCAUUUGAUACUGCGUGGCUUGAGUACCGAAGAGGGUAGUGGAAUUCCAGGUGUAGUGGUGAAAUACGUUGAUAUCUGGAGGAACACCGGUGGCGAAGGCGGCUACCUGGUCGAGUACUGACACUGAGACACGAAAGCAUGGGGAUCAAACA
rnacentral:rRNA from 1 species